CUGGUACUAUCUCACUACCAGUCUCCUCUUCGUUCCCAGCGUCCUCUCUCUCAAUCCUUCCAGUUCGGUUCGUAUUUACAGUUUGGCUCGCUGAAAGAAAGCCUGUGGAGAGACAGAGACGAGACCGAGAGAGACGAGACAGAGAGAGACGAGACAGAGAGAGACGAGACAGAGAGAGACGAGACAGAGAGACAGAGACGAGACAGAGAGACGAGACAGAGAGACGAGACAGAGAGACGAGACCGAGAGAGAGAGAGACGAGACAGAGAGACGAGACAGAGAGACGAGACAGAGAGACGAGAGAGAGACAGAGACGAGACAGAGACGAGACAGAGACGAGACAGAGAGACAGAGACGAGACAGAGAGACGAGAGAGAGACGAAAGAGAGAGACGAAAGAGAGAGACGAGACAGAGAGACGAGACAGAGAGACGAGACAGAGAGACGAGACAGAGAGACGAGACCGAGAGACGAGACCGAGAGAGAGAGAGACGAGACAGAGAGACGAGACAGAGAGACGAGACGAGAGAGACGAGACAGAGAGAGACGAGAGAGACGAGACAGAGAGACAGAGACGAGACAGAGAGACGAGAGAGAGAGACGAGACAGAGAGACGAGACAGAGAGACGAGACAGAGAGACGAGACAGAGAGACGAGACAGAGAGACGAGACAGAGAGACGAGACAGAGAGACGAGACAGAGAGACGAGACAGAGAGACGAGACCGAGAGAGAGAGAGACGAGACAGAGACGAGACAGAGAGACGAGACAGAGAGAGACGAGACAGAGAGACAGAGACGAGACAGAGACGAGACAGAGAGACAGAGACGAGACAGAGACGAGACAGAGAGACGAGAGAGAGAGAGACGAGACAGAGACGAGACAGAGACGAGACAGAGACGAGACAGAGAGACGAGACAGAGAGACGAGACAGAGAGAGACGAGACAGAGAGACAGAGACGAGACAGAGACGAGACAGAGAGACAGAGACGAGACAGAGACGAGACAGAGAGACGAGAGAGAGAGAGACGAAAGAGAGAGACGAAAGAGAGAGACAGAGACGAGACAGAGAGACGAGACAGAGAGACAGAGACGAGACAGAGAGACGAGACCGAGAGACGAGACCGAGAGACGAGACCGAGAGACGAGACAGAGAGACGAGACAGAGAGACGAGACAGAGAGACGAGACAGAGAGACGAGACAGAGAGACGAGACAGAGAGACGAGACAGAGAGAGAGAGACGAGACAGAGAGAGAGAGAGACGAGACAGAGAGAGAGAGACGAGACAGAGAGACGAGACAGAGAGAGAGAGACGAGACAGAGAGAUGAGAGAGAGACGAGACAGAGAGAUGAGAGAGACUCUUGUCAGAUGUUAUCGCUAGUACCAAGACACAGGUUACUGAGUGGAGAUGUUUCUAAGGCAACAACCAGCUGA
rnacentral:lncRNA from 1 species